rnacentral:lncRNA from 14 species
CGUCCUAGUUUAAGGUAUGAGUUGGGCUGGGGAGCGGCGGAGCCAGCCAGUCAGAUUCAGGAAGUCGAGUUCCUGACCUCAUGAGCAGAGCUGGGUGCUGUGAAACCUCAACCAGGGACGCGGGGGCGCUUUCCUCCGCAACACACGGGUGGCACCCACUGAUCCGCAGAACCUCCUCCCUCCCGGGACCUGGCAGUGGGAGGGAGGGGCUAGAGGAGGGACCCAGACCUCAACCCUGUGCCCAAGUCACUUCAGACAGCACCGGAACAGAUCCAGCGGUCCUGCCAGCAGGAAGCCUUCCAGCGGACCCAAAGAUUAUCCCCAGGAUGGAGAUAAAGAAACCGAGGCCCAGAGCAACUGAGUGAUUGUCUCAUGACACAUCCUUAGUGCUCCCAGUGGCUUCCCCAAAUGUGAAGCCAAAAGAAAAAUAAAUUCCAAGUGGCUAACACCGUGUUCUGUGAGGCCCAGGGCUUGUUAGAUAAUUGGGAUCCUCUGGCCCCACACUAGCCCAGCACCAUGGAAAGAAACAGUACCUUCUUCGACUCCAUCUGGGAAACCAUCCUGACCAGACACGAAAGAGGGGUCUUCAACACCGUCUGCCUGGCUGUGCUCCUGGGGCUGCCCCUGGUGGUGCUUCUCACCCUCUUCUUCAUCUGUUGCCAUUGCUGCUGUAGCCGGCCACCCAAGAGCAACCAACAGGCAGAACAGAACAAGAAGAAAAAGAAAAAGAAGAAGAAGAAGAAGAAAGAUGAAGACCUCUGGAUCUCUGCUCAGCCCAAGCUCCUGCAGAUGGAGAAGAGGCCAUCACUGCCUGUCUAGUGAGCAAGGAAGCCAACCACAGAGACUUAGAGGAGUCUUUAAAGUGAUGCAUUUACACCCACAGAUUACUCAACCAAGGGACAGAUUUCAGACUGAGCAUCCCAAUGGACCAGAGUGUAUAGACAAUUCUUACAAUGUCUUGGCAGCUAUGUGUCUGAUAACAGUGCUCUCUGGUGUAGCAUGUGCUGUGGUUUCUGGUAUACUCUCUCACAAAAGCACAGAAAACAUGUAUACAUGCAUCUUAGAUAGCAUUCAACUCUGUAUGCAUCAUAUGUAUGCACAUUUGGACAACAGGUACAUGGGACAGGAUAUUCUAUUUAUCACGUGGCCAUGUAAUAAGUAUUUUUGCUCAAAUAUACCUACCUGAAAUGCCUAUGGGAAGGCAUUCCGGUUUGGGCACAUGUGCACAAUUAAGUAGCCAUGAUGCAAGUUGGCAUUAUGCACUGUCUGUAUGCCACACAGGGUGGAGACGGAUGCUUCCUGUUUCUAUUCCUACAUAGCAUUUACUGGAAAUGCAUUUGGACAUUCUAGGAACCUGGUACAGUCCCCACUUCGCUAUACAUUGAUAUGGAUAGCAGGUGGCUUCUAUAUGUGCCUGACCUUUUUCCUGUACCUAAAAGUUUAAAGUAUGGCUCCAAAUCCACUCAAAGCUCUUUGCUUGCAAUUCACGACAAGGUCCUCAUUACCUCUGACAGCUGUUUAAUGGGGUCCCAGACCUCUCGGGGACAUUACCCCAUAACUACUCAGCAAGGUGCCCUUUUCUAAGCAGUGAUAAACAGCUCUUGGCAGUGACUACAAGAAAGCUAUGGAAAUCCGCAUAUUCACUUCAUUGGACUGCAGGUGUGUAUCCAUGAGAUGUAUAUGGAGAUAGAAAGGGUAAAGCAAUGGCCCACAGGAGCUAGCUAUAAUCCGUGUGACCAGGGCUUUCAGAAUGAAAACAAGUGAGAUCAUCCCAAGUCCAGUCUCAUAACCAGUGCACAUGCGCGCACGCGCGCACGCACGCACACACACACACACACACACACACACCACAACACAUACCAGAAGCAAUCCCUUGUGCUUGCAGCAGUGCAGGAUGUGUCUCGGGUGGGAGGUAGAAGCCAUAGUUUAAAUGAAAGAUAAAACUGUAAAGAUAUUUGUUGCCAUUUAUGUUGAAGCUCAGGCACAUAGCUUGUACACAGUAGGUACUCAGAACUGUGGAUGGAUAUACAGUGAUGUUAAGGAUAAACUUGUAAUACCUCACAGGUCCCCCAAGUGACCUACUCAUUUAAGAGACCCCAUUAACUGCUCCAGAAGCUGAGACAAAGCAUUGAGACCUGGGUGGUAUUGAUAUAUGUGCUCUGUGGUACCUGAGGCCAUGCCAUAUUCUGAGUGGAGGAGAGCCCUCCCCCACCCCCCCAGCCUCCACAGGCUCGAAAAACAAAAAACAAAAAAAAAUCAAAUUGCUUGGCAUUUUGAUUGUAUUGUGGCCGCGUUACAAAGGCAGAGAAUUCCCAGCUUGGAGGUGAUUACACUCUAACAGCUCAUUUGCACAUCUACUGGGGAGCGCUAUAAAUAUUGUCCCUACAGAGACCAUUAUAGACAGUGGAAAAAAUCACUGUCUAAUUAAUGACAUAGCCAAAUUAUGACAUUAUAACAGCAAGAAAAAAAUUCCUGGACUCGAUGAGACUGUGUGAAUGGAAGGUUGUACUCCAUUUGUUCAGCUGGGCUGCCUGGUACUCGUGGUUCUACUCCGACUGUGCUCCAGGCCCUUGGAGGGUAGCUGCCUAGUGGUAGUUCUUACAGCUGGGUCAGUCACAUUCACUCACUCAUCCUGCAUAACCUCAAUGUCACUAGGCACUCAGGCCUUCCACCCACAGGCCUCUCUGACCAAAGCAACACUUUCUGAUUCUCUACCACCUUGCCACAUAGGGAGUUGUGGAUUACCUGGCUGUCCCCCACAUGUCACAUAAUAGUCAGUCUUCUCCCCUUCUGUGCUACUUGGUACCCACCAGAUGUCCUUCCCACUUCUCUCAGUCACCCUAAGACAGAAGACUUGGGGGAAGAGGUGGAGACACAGCAGAGGUGGGAUGUCAGAUACAGGAUCAGGGACCAUACGAAUAACACUGUUUCCGUGACAACUGGCUGCCAGUUUGAAUUAAGACAGAAGUCGGUUUUUACUGAUUGCCAUAGUGAAGCUUCCGUCUCCGGGCCCAGUGUACCUACUGCUUCCUGAUCAAAUAGACUUGAGCUAGUUCCUGUCACGAAACAUCCAGAAGGGCAAUUCCCAGUUGUUUCUGUAUCCUGGAAUCCAGGAGUCCCAACCCUGAUUGGAUCACACUUCCUGUCACAGACUGUCUGACAGCCGGGUCCACGAUGUGAUAGGCCCUCCCACAGAUGCCAGAGAACAGAGACCCAAAGUGGUGCUUGGUACUGCCUUCCUGCCUCACACCCUGCCAGUCCUUCUCGUGUUGCUUCUUCUCCUUGCAUCAUACCAGGUCCUUCCUUUAUGACGACACAUUUUCCCCUUGCUUCAUCCCAGAGUUACCAUGGAUAUAGUCGUGGGGUAGGGGGCUUGGGACCUGUGCCUACCUGAUCCACCUAGGUAAGUUAAUGGAACAAAAGAGGCUCCAGGGAACUGGAGGAAUGGCUCAGCAGUUAAGAGCACUUGUUGCUUUUGUAGAAGACGCAGGUACCAGGCACGCAUGUGGUACGCAUGUAUACAUAGGCAAACCUCUCAUACACAUCAAAUAAAUCUCUUUUAAAAGUAGGAUCCACAAAGAAUAGACCUUCUAAACUGGCAUGGACUUGGGCGUAGGGUUGUUCCCACCCACGGUGGACUUCUAAUCUGCCUUGGUCAUACUCAGAAACCAUCAGAGGGGUCUUUAUCCAUUGUUCUGUGGACUUUUUUGAUUUCUUGGGAGGAGGAAAAAGAACAGGAAAAUGUAAAGAAAAAGCAGUCACUUUUUUGAGAAGAAUAUAUAAAUGAUCCAAGCUGUACAGUAUUUGUCAGUGUUUUGUUUCCUGUAAAAUUCAAAUACAUAUAAAAGUUUAUUUAAAUAAAUAUUUUGAAAAUGAAA